GAUGAACGCUGGCGGCGUGCCUAAUACAUGCAAGUCGAGCGAACAGACGUGGAGCUUGCUCCUCUGACGUUAGCGGCGGACGGGUGAGUAACACGUGGAUAACCUACCUAUAAGACUGGGAUAACUUCGGGAAACCGGAGCUAAUACCGGAUAAUAUAUUGAACCGCAUGGUUCAAUAGUGAAAGACGGUUUUGCUGUCACUUAUAGAUGGAUCCGCGCCGCAUUAGCUAGUUGGGAAGGUAACGGCUUACCAAGGCAACGAUGCGUAGCCGACCUGAGAGGGUGAUCGGCCACACUGGAACUGAGACACGGUCCAGACUCCUACGGGAGGCAGCAGUAGGGAAUCUUCCGCAAUGGGCGAAAGCCUGGCGGAGCAACGCCGCGUGAGUGAUGAAGGUCUUCGGAUCGUAAAACUCUGUUAUUAGGGAAGAACAAAUGUGUAAGUAACUAUGCACGUCUUGACGGUACCUAAUCAGAAAGCCACGGCUAACUACGUG
rnacentral:rRNA from 1 species